UACAUAGGGGGCGAGCGUUAUCCGGAAUUAUUGGGCGUAAAGCGUGCGUAGGCGGCUUUUUAAGUCUGUCGUGAAAGCCCACAGCUUAACUGUGGAGGGUCGAUGGAAACUGGAGAGCUUGAAUCUAGAAGAGGUAAGUGGAAUUCCAUGUGUAGCGGUAAAAUGCUUAGAUAUAUGGAGGAACACCAGUAGCGAAGGCGGCUUACUGGUCUAGAAUUGACGCUGAGGCACGAAAGCGUGGGUAGCAA
rnacentral:rRNA from 1 species